UCCGUAGCCGGUUUGAUAAGUCUUUUGUGAAAUUGUCGUGCUUAACAUGACAACGUGCAAGAGAUACUGUCAAACUUGGAACUGGGAGGGGUUAGAGGUAUUCCUUGGGGAGCGGUAAAAUGCUAUAAUCCUUGGAGGACCACCUGUGGCGAAAGCGUCUAACCAGAACAGCUUCGACGGUGAGGGACGAAAGCUAGGGGAGCAAACAGGAUUAGAUACCCUGGUAGUCC
rnacentral:rRNA from 1 species